GGGGGCGCAUGGCUUCGACGGGAGAUCAUGCGGUUCGGGGGUUGCGUGCCGAGUCCGACUCGUUAACCGGAUUUUUGACACUCGCCAACGACGAAUUGGCACUGGCGGCUUAGAAGCCGUCACGGUCCUGCCGGAGCCUUGAUUCGCGGCGCCGUCAGGAGCGACACUCAAAGUGGAUCAAACGCCUGAGCGCGGCUCUGAACUCAGGCCGGAUCACUUCGGGGCUAGACCGCUGGCCGUGGUGGCCUUCUACCCAAGCCGGCGGCGACUGAUCGAGUGAAGGCUACGCACGUAGAUCCCUCGCGCCGAGUCUCGCGGACGUGGGUUCGAUUCCCACCGCCUCCACCA
rnacentral:tmRNA from 1 species